CUCUAGCCGUCCAAAAAAUGUCAGACAUUGCUGGACGGCAGAGGUACUAGUGACAUGUCUGGUGGCCACACUGAGCGCUUGUCUCUUAUUGGAGCUCUGCUAGCUCUCUACUGACACCUCUGGCCAAAUUUAAUAUGACACAUUUCUGCUAACCUCAGGUUUUUACAUUAUCAUAUGUUACUUUGUGACUAUAUGGGCCUGAGGUCUUGCUAUAUGUGGUUCUGCACCACCGGCUUCCUUCCUCUUAAUUUCAUCCAGAGGAGUCUUUCUGCGUCCUGAUAGUGGUGUCCUUUCUCUGGGGUGUGCAGGGUUGAUUAAACGCUGUGAUUGAAAAGUGGUUCUUAUACUCGUUGACUACAUAUACUUCGGCCCCUGAUGAAGGGUAAUCCGAAACGCGUAGGGCCGUGUAUGUCUUCAUGGACCUUGCUUUUCAAUGACACCUA